AAAGAUGAGAUGAGAGAGGAAGAUGGUGAUGAAAAGCACAGAAGUUCUUUUUUCUUUCCCUCCGGAACCCUCUAGAGCCUAGUAAAAACACAAACUAGAACAGCACCGAGGGAUAGAAGAAAGGAAGACGGGAGAGAGGAAAGGGAUGAAGACGGGGUGGGGUGUGGGAGUGGCGUGGGGCGGGCGAGGGUCGUCGUCGUCGGUUAGUGGGGC
ensembl:ncRNA C04A2.14 ncRNA